AUACGGAGGAUCCGAGCGUUAUCCGGAUUUAUUGGGUUUAAAGGGUGCGCAGGCGGGAGAUUAAGUCGGCGGUGAAAUUUUGCAGCUCAACUGUAAAAGGGCCUUCGAAACUGGUUUCCUUGAGUGGAGAUGAAGUAGGCGGAAUUUGUGGUGUAGCGGUGAAAUGCAUAGAUAUCACGAGGAACUCCGAUUGCGCAGGCAGCUUACUAAACUACUACUGACGCUCAGGCACGAAGGCGUGGGGAUCAAACAGGAUUAGAUACCCUGGUAGUCCACGCAGUAAACGAUGAUUACUAGCUGUUUGCGAUACAAUGUAAGCGGCUGAGCGAAAGCGUUAAGUAAUCCACCUGGGGAGUACGGUCGCAAGAAUGAAACUCAAAUGAAUUGACGGGG
rnacentral:rRNA from 1 species